AUCAUGGCUGCUACUGAGAUACUUCCGGGUCAUUUCACUCCGUUAGGAACCUUCCUAAGAGAAAAGGACUAUUCGACCGCAGCCCUGCUAUUUUCAUUUUC